AAAGGGAGACCUAAUUCAGGUAGGAGACGAAAAAAAAGUAGUCCCUACCAAGAAUCAAUCCCAAAAGGUCGGAGCGAGGCAAAAUUGGCUUUCAAACUAGGUUCUGGGUUCACACAAGACCUGAAUCAGGAACAAGGGCUAUUAGCUCAGGUGGUUAGAGCGCACCCCUGAUAAGGGUGAGGUCCCUGGUUCGAGUCCAGGAUGGCCCACCUGCACAGGUGGCAAAAACAAGAGAAGCUCCGAAUCAGCACCUGCUCUUACCUACAUAGUAAGAGAGAAUGCUGGCUCUGAGUACAGAGUCCAGAGGAACCUUGAAAACUGCAUAGAGCUAGGUGAAAAAGCCAAAAAAGAAGACCGCAAG
rnacentral:tRNA from 1 species